GGUGUUUGUAAGUUCAUCUCUUGUGGUUUCAAGAGAGGUGGUAUUUCUAAACUCUUACAAAUUAUUUUUCUCUGUGACUAAUAUUUGUAAUUGUUUUGUGUUAGUGAAAAAGUUUAUCUUGUUUGAGAUAAGCGACUGGACGUAGGAUCCUUGUGAUCUGAACCAGGAUAAAAUCACCUGUGCAUUUUUCUCUUUCCNUUACUCUAUUGUUUAUAUUUUAUUAUCAGCUUAGUAAGAAAAAUUAAGAGAAAAAUUGUUAAAGGCACGCGAAAAAUAUAUAACCAAUUCACCCCCUCCCCUCUUGGUUUGUU
rnacentral:lncRNA from 1 species